rnacentral:rRNA from 1 species
UACGUAGGGGGCAAGCGUUAUCCGGAUUUAUUGGGCGUAAAGCGCGUGUAGGAGGCAAUACAAGUUGGAUGUAAAAUCUCCCGGCUAAACUGGGAGGCGUCGUUCAAGACUGUAUAGCUGGAGUAGUGGAGAGGUAAUCGGAACUCCGGGAGUAGCGGUGAAAUGCGUAGAUAUCCGGAAGAACACCAGAGGCGAAAGCGGAUUACUGGCCACCAACUGACACUAAGACGCGAAAGCCAGGGUAGCAAAU